UACGUAGGGUGCAAGCGUUGUCCGGAUUUAUUGGGCGUAAAGAGCUCGUAGGCGGUCUGUCGCGUCGGAUGUGAAAACCCAGGGCUCAACCCUGGGCCUGCAUUCGAUACGGGCAGACUAGAGUGUGGCAGGGGAGACUGGAAUUCCUGGUGUAGCGGUGAAAUGCGCAGAUAUCAGGAGGAACACCGGUGGCGAAGGCGGGUCUCUGGGCCAAUACUGACGCUCAGGCACGAAAGCGUGGGGAGCAAACAGG
rnacentral:rRNA from 1 species